AGCCUUGUUCUACGUUCUGACGCUUCAUAUUUUCCCGUCGUAAUGAGCCGACGUGUGCUGCGACGCGUUGAAAAAUCGCGGAGGCAGAAAAUAUUCUGCAAACGACGGCGAAGUGGAACGAAGUUGAACGCUGAUUUUUAUUUCCGAACGGUGGAACGAAGAUAAAGGCGACAUUGAACGAUAAACAGAGUGCAGAUAAGACGAAUUCGCGACGGAAGUGCAGAGAUCAAGUUUCAAGCGGUGGAAUGAUUAACGCUGGAACUAUUAAAACGGUUGAAGCGGUUGAUAUCUGAUUUUUUGGAAAAAGAUGUUUUCAAAAAAAAUGUUUCUAGGCGAUAAUCCAUGCAUCCUGCAAGACCGAACGCUGUUCUCGAAGAUAUAAAACGCAUAUUAAACAAUGAUCAUCGAUUUCAAAGAACUUCGAUUUCAAAGAAGUUGCGUGUUUUCCUGUUUCGACGUUCAUUCGCUUGGCUUCAGGCUUGCGGCAUCAGGAAUUCGUUGCGACAUUUCGAGGAGGGCCACGGCGUAGACGGAGUUACGUGUGCUCCAUUAGAGUCGGAUCUCCAGAAGCAUGUAGCAACACGUGAAUUGGGGAACCUGCGUUCGAACGUACGGCAAU